AUACGGAGGGUCCAAGCGUUAUCCGGAUUCAUUGGGUUUAAAGGGUCCGCAGGCGGGAAAAUAAGUCAGUGGUGAAAGCCUACAGCUCAACUGUAGAACUGCCAUUGAAACUGUUUUUCUUGAGUAUAGAUGAAGUGGGCGGAAUAUAUCAUGUAGCGGUGAAAUGCAUAGAUAUGAUAUAGAACACCGAUUGCGAAGGCAGCUCACUAAACUAUUUCUGACGCUCAGGGACGAAAGCGUGGGGAGCGAACAGGAUUAGAUACCCUAGUAGUCC
rnacentral:rRNA from 1 species